GACGACAAAAGCUAACACAUACUGGUUACGCUGCCAGAACCACAUUUAAAAAUAUUUAUAUAUUAAAAUAUGCUUGCUGAAAGUUAUUGGUUUGCUUGCUACCCAAGAGCUUAAUGGCCAAGUGCACUUUUACCACAAUCAGAAUCAGCUUGAUUGGCAAAGUAUGUGGACACACGUAUGGAAUUGGGCUCCGGACAUCUUUGCAAUGGUGCAAAGAAGUUGGAAUAAAUGAUGGAGUCAGUAAAUGAUGGAUAAGAUAUUUUAGAGACAAUGGACAGAUGGCAACAGCCAGGAUAACAAACUUAAGGCUUUUUAUGUGGGAAUCCAAAAUUCAAUGACUGACAUCAGGGUGGUAAUAUGUGACUCUUACAUCAGUGGUCCCCAACCCGGCCACAGACCGGUACCGGUCCAUGAGUCGUUUGGUAACGGGCCACGAGAUUUGAGACUCGGGUGUUAAAUUCAUGGUUUUUAUCGGUUUUUAGCGUUAUUUUUUUUUAAUCGUUUUUAUCGUUAAAUCGGUUACCCUGGGUCUUUUCCCGUGUGUUAUGAAUAAAUCUUCUUUUUUUUUGGUACUGGUGGUGGUUUUAUUUUGUUGUAUUUAUCCGUAACACCUCAAAGGCCGGUCCAUGGAAAUAUUGUCGGACAUAAACCUGUCUAUGGGGGAAAAAGGCUGGGGACCGCUGUUUUAGAUAGAAUCUGUGGCUUGUGUACUACAGCAACAGGCUGUAAAGAAGAAGGAGCACAAAAUCACAGAUCUGCAGAACAUCUCGUUAUGGUGCUCAGUGGAACCAAGUGGAUACUUCAAACUUUUUUAACAGCGUCCUAUAGGCCAGGUCCAACAGCAGCAACAAUCCCAAAGGUAUUUUCUGCCUGGUAUAGGUUACACAGCAAAAGAGUGCUGUGUAACCUAUAUUUAGAUUAGUUUUCAUGUUACCUAAUAAGCUAUAGUUUAGGAUCUAUCUGCACUCUCGCAUAAAAGGAUAAAGUCCACAAUCUUUUUUAAGUGAAUGUCAGCACAAGAGAAAAUGGCAGCAGUCCUCUCAACAACCCUGCAAUUAGUUCAAAUGUGUUCAAUUACUCUGUGUGUAAUGAGUUUUACUUUUUUCCAAAGCCACCUCUGCUUUCUUGUCUACAGUGGAAAAACCAAUAAUGUUCAUCUGUUUCCUACCCCAGCAAUCUAUGCAGUGCUCCACUUUGUCCUGUGGCUCAAAAACGGAACAGUUUGGAUGGUGAAUACAUGUACAUACAUUGUCUGUCAGUUUAGAUUCAGUACAAAUAGCCUGAAAAGUAAAAAAAUA
ensembl:lncRNA